AGAAUUCUUUUCCUUCUCAGAUUUCAGCAAAGGACAAUUUCUCCUUAUGUGUCCAAUCUGAUGACACUUGUAGCACUUCCAAGCCUUUUGCUUACCCCGAGACUUAGAACUACCCUUGGACUUCUCUCUAACCCCUUUUCUGAGGCCUCCCUUGCCUCUCAUUAACAGCAAGAACCUCUGAGUUAGAACUUCCCUUGCAAAUCUUCUCUCUUUACUCAUUAGACCGAAGAAUACUAAUCACCUC
rnacentral:lncRNA from 1 species